rnacentral:rRNA from 1 species
GACAGAGGUGCCGAGCGUUAGGCGGAAUCACUGGGCUUAAAGCGUGUGUAGGCGGAUGCCUAAGUACCUUGUGAAAUCCCUCGGCUUAACCGGGGAACUGCGUCUGAUACUGGAUGGCUUGAGUUUGGGAGAGGGAUGCGGAAUUCCAGGUGUAGCGGUGAAAUGCGUAGAUAUCUGGAGGAACACCGGUGGCGAAGGCGGCGAUCCUGGACCGA